CCGGGAGGAGGUGUGACAGCCGGCAGGGACAGCACAGCCACAGGGUUGGCCCUCACCGGCGCCGCCUGCACUGUUGUCGUGAAUUCAAUUGCCGGCUGCCAUGCAGAGGGACCGGGCGGGCUGUCCAGUGCAGGGCUGCUGACCGCCUCUCUCGGUGGGGGCCGGAGCGCAAAUGCGCUCUGCAGUGCCACUGAACUGUUGCUGUCAAUUGCGUUGCCUGACAACACGCUGAAAUCGGCGAGGAGUGGUUCCAGGCUGCUCUGUGCUGCGGAGGUUUCAGGACAUUCUGUCUGGGAACUUCAGAAAGUUCUUCUGUGGUCAGCCUUGGCUGUGAACUCUGCCUGAAUUCAGUGCCAUCGGUUCUUCAGCUCCAGGCUAGAACCCAGUAUGUGGUCACCUGUGUGGUGACCAUCAAUGCCACUCGCUCGGGGUCCGCCAAAUGUGGUGGUGUUCGCAGGGGUCCCAGGAUGAAGGAAAAUAUUAAAAUCUUGACUCCAUGUU